ACCUACUGAAGAAUAGAUGAAUGCCACAAUAAAAAAUAAAACUGCCAUAAAGUACAUUGAUGUAAUUACUACAUCCAUAAUGUGUGUUUCCUUUGUUUUUUUUGAUUUUCAAUCAUUU
rnacentral:ribozyme from 1 species